rnacentral:lncRNA from 12 species
CAGCCUGGGUCAGAGGUGAGUUUUUGAUUAGCCACCAUAGUGGUAAACUGUGGUUGGCUGCAUCCUUUCCCUUGGUUUCCUGUCCUGGAACCCCCUCUAUGACAGCAGCCACUUUCUGGAUUGUCCUCACCGUUGGCUGGUGUUUGUCAGGAGGAACUACCAGGCUGCUUAAGGUUCAAACCCAGCACUUUGUGACCUUGGAAGAAAUGCCCUGGGUUGAUUAAAAAACAUCCAAUGAAGAAAAUUCACCUCUGUUUGCAGCUGCACCACAAGUUC